GGGGGGAGCGCUGGAUCUUCAGCUGAGUCCCCAGCGCCUGGGCUCCGGGGCCUGUGCUACUGGAAUCGCGCUCCUGGGCCUGCACAGCCCCCU
rnacentral:pre_miRNA from 1 species